rnacentral:rRNA from 1 species
UCGAACGGUAGCACAGAGAGCUUGCUCUCGGGUGACGAGUGGCGGACGGGUGAGUAAUGUCUGGGAGACUGCCUGAUGGAGGGGGAUAACUACUGGAAACGGUAGCUAAUACCGCAUAACGUCGCAAGACCAAAGAGGGGGACCUUCGGGCCUCUUGCCAUCAGAUGUGCCCAGAUGGGAUUAGCUAGUAGGUGGGGUAACGGCUCACCUAUGCGACGAUCCCUAGCUGGUCUGAGAGGAUGACCAGCCACACUGGAACUGAGACACGGUCCAGACUCCUACGGGAGGCAGCAGUGGGGAAUAUUGCACAAUGGGCGCAAGCCUGAUGCAGCCAUGCCGCGUGUAUGAAGAAGGCCUUCGGGUUGUAAAGUACUUUCAGCGGGGAGGAAGGUGUUGUGGUUAAUAACCGCAGCAAUUGACGUUACCCGCAGAAGAAGCACCGGCUAACUCCGUGCCAGCAGCCGCGGUAAUACGGAGGGUGCAAGCGUUAAUCGGAAUUACUGGGCGUAAAGCGCACGCAGGCGGUCUGUCAAGUCGGAUGUGAAAUCCCCGGGCUCAACCUGGGAACUGCAUUCGAAACUGGCAGGCUAGAGUCUUGUAGAGGGGGGUAGAAUUCCAGGUGUAGCGGUGAAAUGCGUAGAGAUCUGGAGGAAUACCGGUGGCGAAGGCGGCCCCCUGGACAAAGACUGACGCUCAGGUGCGAAAGCGUGGGGAGCAAACAGG